AUUGAACGCUGGCGGAAUGCUUUACACAUGUAAGUCGAACGGCAGCACGGGGCAACCUGGUCGCGAGUGGCGAACGGGUGAGUAAUACAUCGGAACGUGCCCAAUCGUGGGGGAUGACGUAGCGAAAGUUACGCUAAUACCGCAUACGAUCUACGGAUGAAAGCGGGGGAUCGCAAGACCUCGCGCGAAUGGAGCGGCCGAUGUCAGAUUAGGUAGUUGGUGGGGCAAAGGCUCACCAAGCCGACGAUCUGUAGCUGUUCUGCGAGGACGACCAGCCAAACGGGGACUGGGACACGGCCCAGACUCCUACGGGAGGCAGCAGUGGGGAAUUUUGGACAAUGUGCGCAAGCCUGAUCCAGCCAUUCCGCGUGCAGGACGAAGGCCUUCGGGUUGUAAACUGCUUUUGUACGGAGCGAAAAGGCUCUCUCUAAUACAGGGGGCUCAUGACGGUACCGUAAGAAUAAGCACCGGCUAACUACGUGCCAGCCGCCGCCGUAAAAC
rnacentral:rRNA from 1 species